UGUAUGAUGCCUGUCUUUUGGAGAAUAAAGAUGCUUCAUUUGCCCCAUGGCUGAAUUCUCCUUUAUUGCCAGGGGGAAAGGUUCAGGUGGGCCUCAAAUACUCUUCUGACUUGUGACAUUAUCAAUACGAACACCCCCGCCCGCCGUCCUCUGGUAUACUAUUACAAGACCAAGAACAAUCAAGGCUCCCCUGGCUGCUUUGAUAACUCUAGAUAACCUUAAGCCGACCUCACAUCCCUGUGAUGUCUGCCCUAUCAUCCUUUUAUGGUAUUUUCUGUGCCUACCAUGGUGACCAUGGUGACCAUGGGUAAAGGGAAUUGGGGUUCAAUUCUGUAGAGGGAGGAUGAGAAAAAUCUACUACAUCCAAGGAAGGCAGCAAGUGCAGGAAUCACCCACACCCGAGUAGUGGUGAUGAAAAAUUACAAUACAGCACAUUUUGAGGCCCAGUUAUUGGAAUGAGUGCACUUUGAAUCCUUUAACGAGGAGCCAUUGUAGGGCAAGUCUGGUGAUAGCAGCCACAGCAAUUCCAGCUCCAAUAUCACAUGUUAAAGUUGCUACAGUAAAAAAGGUCAUAGCUUUAUCUUGGGAUUUAGCUGGUGGUCUGCAGUGAGGCCACUACUGCCUGUCCCAGCCCAUGCCUCUCAGUGCCCCCAUGAUUGAGUGAGUGUCCAGGGGUUCCAAAGCAGGCCAAUCACCUCAAUAUAUCAGCUAGGUAUAAUGAAAUGGGAUUCUGAUCAAUUUUGCUGGUUUUCAGAACUGCGGCCAUGAUUGCGAGGGAUGGCCAGAGGCAUUUGUAUUGUGCCACUAGAGGUGGUAUUUUUGGACCAGCGCAAGAUGAACCAAAUUGAAACCAUUUGCCAAGAAUGUUGUCAUUAAUCAAGUGUCCCAUGACCUGCCAAGCAGCUUCUGGAAACCAAAGUGUUUGGGUUCCGGGGGGCAUAUGCUUGCAAAGCUACAACUUAAAGGUAUUGACAGAAGGGCACCACCAGGAGUGGAGCCUGCGUCUUAAUUUGACUCAACACGGGAAACCUCAACUGGCCAAGAAACGGAAAGGAUUGACAAAUGGAUAGCUCUUUCUCGACUCAGUGGGUGUGGUGCAUGGCCGUUUUUAGUUUGCAGAGUGAUUUGUCUAGUUAAAUCCAAUAAAUACAAGACUCCAGCACUCUUACUAGUUACACAACCCCCAGCAGUCAGCGUUCAACUUCUUAGAGCGACAAGUGGUGUUCAGCAACAUGAGACCAUGUAAUAACAGGUCUGUGAUGUCCUUAGAUGCCCAGGGCUGCACACGAUCUACAUAGAAUGGAUCAGCGUGUGUCAACUAGCGUGUAAUCUACUGAAUUCCCAGUUUGUGCAGGUCAUAAUCACGUGCUGAUAGUCCCUGCCCUCUGUAGACACCGCCCAUCACUACUACCGAUUGGAUGGGUUAGUGAGGUUCUCCCAUCGGUCCUGCUGGGGUCAGCAACAGCCCUGGCAGAGUGCCAAGAAUAUGAUCAAACUUCACUAUCUUGAGGUAGUAUAAGUCAGAACAACGUUUCCGUAGGUGAACCUGCAAAAG
rnacentral:rRNA from 1 species